AUACGUAGGUGGCAAGCGUUGUCCGGAAUUAUUGGGCGUAAAGCGCGCGCAGGUGGGUUGUUAAGUCAUUUGUAAAAGUGCGGGGCUCAACCCCGUAAAGCGAUUGAUACUGGCAUUCUUGAGUGCAGGAGAGGAAAGCGGAAUUCCCAGUGUAGCGGUGAAAUGCGUAGAUAUUGGGAGGAACACCAGUGGCGAAGGCGGCUUUCUGGACUGUGUCUGACACUGAGGCGCGAAAGCCAGGGGAGCGAACGGGAUUAGAUACCCCGGUAGUCCUGGCCGUAAACGAUGGGUACUAGGUGUAGGAGGUAUCAACCCCUUCUGUGCCGGAGUUAACGCAAUAAGUACCCCGCCUGGGGAGUACGGCCGCAAGGUUGA
rnacentral:rRNA from 1 species